UCCUACGGGAGGCAGCAGUGGGGAAUAUUGGACAAUGGGGGGAACCCUGAUCCAGCCAUGCCGCGUGUGUGAAGAAGGCCUUAUGGUUGUAAAGCACUUUAAGCGAGGAGGAGGCUCUUUUGGUUAAUACCCAGAAUGAGUGGACGUUACUCGCAGAAUAAGCACCGGCUAACUCUGUGCCAGCAGCCGCGGUAAUACAGAGGGUGCAAGCGUUAAUCGGAUUUACUGGGCGUAAAGCGCGCGUAGGCGGCCAAUUAAGUCAAAUGUGAAAUCCCCGAGCUUAACUUGGGAAUUGCAUUCGAUACUGGUUGGCUAGAGUGUGGGAGAGGAUGGUAGAAUUCCAGGUGUAGCGGUGAAAUGCGUAGAGAUCUGGAGGAAUACCGAUGGCGAAGGCAGCCAUCUGGCCUAACACUGACGCUGAGGUGCGAAAGCAUGGGGAGCAAACAGGAUUAGAUACCCUGGUAGUCCAUGCCGUAAACGAUGUCUACUAGCCGUUGGGGCCUUUGAGGCUUUAGUGGCGCAGCUAACGCGAUAAGUAGACCGCCUGGGGAGUACGGUCGCAAGACUAAAACUCAAAUGAAUUGACGGGGGCCCGCACAAGCGGUGGAGCAUGUGGUUUAAUUCGAUGCAACGCGAAGAACCUUACCUGGCCUUGACAUAGUAGAAACUUUCCAGAGAUGGAUUGGUGCCUUCGGGAAUCUACAUACAGGUGCUGCAUGGCUGUCGUCAGCUCGUGUCGUGAGAUGUUGGGUUAAGUCCCGCAACGAGCGCAACCCUUUUCCUUACUUGCCAGCAUUUCGGAUGGGAACUUUAAGGAUACUGCCAGUGACAAACUG
rnacentral:rRNA from 1 species